UGUGUGCUGAUUUUUCUGCAAUAGAAUACCUUUUCACACAUUUUACUCCAUUCUAAAAGCACACAAUUGCAAUAAUUUGCAAAAUCAUGUGUUUACAUAUCUAGGAAAAGGGUACAUAGACAUCUCAUUCAUAAUACUACACAAGGAGCAGGAUCUGCUUACUCUUCCAGAGCACAUGAGAUCAAUUAUAUGUUGUGGGUUCAAGUUGAUCAGUUUUCUUUUUUUCUAAUUUGUAUAUUAGUUUAAACUUUUCAUCAAAAAGUCUGAAAAAAAGAGAUAUGUAUCUACUGAAAAUGAUUUAUUUAGGUGCAGGGGUUACCACACUUUGAAAUCUACAUGGAAGCAAAACAGUGAAAAGUCAUGUCAUGAUAGGCUACUUGAGAGACCUCACUAUGUCUAGGAGAAGUGAACAAUUCUAGAAACUUU
rnacentral:lncRNA from 1 species